ensembl:processed_transcript uncharacterized LOC110297561
AUUUAUGUUUGCAGAGCAAAAGAACCAGAUACCAAAGAAGACAAGAUAAACAGCCCAGAUGAUCCCACCUCACAGACUGACUCAAUAGCCGUUUCUUCAAGAAUCUGCAUCCAGAAUGACUUCAAGAUGGCUAAAUAAGAUAGACAGUAAGUUUGUAAGUCUGGACAGACUCGCAGACUGCUCCAACCAGGACUUCAGUUAAGCCUUGCACUUUCCCAUCGCACAGAGGCUUGACAAGAAACGAUACAGCUAGCUUUCUUAGGACUUGCUCAUUAUGCUAAUUUUCUUAGGGCCCCCAAAAGAGAAUGCCAACCCCAACAGCAAGAAGCAGUUUUAAUGGUCCUUUCUUCCAUCUCAGCUCUGAACUUUGUCUCUGUAACUCCUUCCAUGGGUAUUUUGUUCCCCAUUCUAAGAAGGAACGAAGUAUCCACAUUUUGAGUUUCGUGUAUUUUGAAAAUUGUAUCUUGGGUAGUCUAAGUUUCUGGGCUAAUAUCCACUUAUCAGUGUGUUCUUUUGUGAUUAGUUUACCUCACUAAGGAUGAUAUCUUCCAGAUACAUCCAUUUGCCCAAGAAUUUAAUAAAUUCAUUGUUUUU